rnacentral:lncRNA from 1 species
CCUUGGAAACUCCCAAAGGAUCUCUCUGGGAGCCAAGGGCACACCAGCAUGGAGCCCAGGAGGUGCCAACCCCCUGGUCUGGCUGCAGAGGGAGGAUUCAUUCCCCUGCUGUAGGGAACAGAGGUGAACAUCUCCCAGUGUGCAGAGUUCACCUCAGAACCACCAGAUGUGCUGUCCAUCUGUCCCAGGCAGGGAUUAGAGCUGAGCACCUGCCAUGGUGGGACCUGACCCACUGGGAAGGUUUCCCAGAACUGCAAUUUUGCCUGGUACAGGCUCUCUCCCACUGCUCUCAGCUUCCCUUAGCAAUUUCCCACAUCUUCCAGCUCUGCUUUGUGAAGAAUUCUUUUUUUUCCCCUUUGCAGUUGUUCUCCAUUCAAUUUUAUUGGCAGUUGCUAACACCAUCCACCCUCCAGGCUUUUUGUCAGAACUGCCUCUCUGCUUGUGGCCUUUUUAUUCCCCAACACCUUUCCGUAGAGAAUGUUUCACUUUUGUUCGUUUUCGUUUCCCCCUCUACAAUUUUCUAUUCCUAAUUAUCAUUAACUUGGAGAACUUGCUCCUUUUGAAGAGCAGAUAAUUAAUUUCCAGGGCUGACGUCUUUCUCCCCUGUAAUCAGAUCCACAUCCUCGUUCCCUCGUGCCCUGUGUGCUGCCUUUUUGUGCUGGGCUGAUCUCCUGAGGCUCUCAGCUCCCAGCUUGUGGCCCCCAGCACGUGGAGAUUAGGGGGCAGGAGUGGCAGGAGGGGCGCUGGAGCCUCACAAUUUUGGCAACAAAUGGAAGGAAAAUGCCAACAAGCAGCUCAUUUAUUGCUGAAGAGUUGAAAGAUCCCAAGCUCUUGCUGCGAUCCAAGCAGGGAGCAGACUAAGGUGGAUUUGAUGAUCUCAGAGGUCUUUUCCCACCUCUGAUUCUAUGAGAUAAACCCUUGAAUGGAUCCUGAGCAGCCACAGGUGACUUAUCCCACUGUCAGAGAGUUGCUAAAGGAAGGCACAGAGGGGAUGCACUCAGAAUUGAGCCUGGAACCAUCACACCCCGAGCCUCAGGAGUCCUCAGCUCCUCCAAAAGCUGAGCUGGGCACAGGAAGCCUCUUCCUCCUUGGCCCCUCACUCUGCCCAGGGUGGAACCAGCAGGAAUUUCCCCAUGGAAAGGGAGCUCAGGCCUUGGAACUGCCCAGGGAGGUUUGGAUGCCCAUCCUGGAGGUGCCCAGGGAAUUCCUGGAGGUGUCACUCAGAGCUCUGGGCUGGGACAGGGUGGGGAUGGGGCACAGCUGGGACUGGAUGGGCUGGGAAGGCUUUUCCAGCCUCAGGCAUUCUGUAAUUCUCUGUGAUUAUCCUAAAAAUGUCCUGAAUGUGCCAGGGUCUCUUGCUGACCCGGACAAAACUUCCCUCACGGAUAUGAGCCACUUUUCCUCGUGUGGCUUUCAUCAAACCUCCCAGAAUAUUCUGUUUUUUCCAAGGUAGCGUUUUCCUUGAGCCACUUUUCCUCAUGUGGCUUUCAUCCAACCUCCCACAGUGCUACGAAUAUUCUGGUUUUUCCAAGGUAUUAUUUUCCACGUGAGGCUGGAGCACUGAACCAGCCCUUCCCAGGAACCAGAGGGGUCCAGGGGCUGUCACAGCUGACAGCUCCCUCAUCCCAGCUCCCAGUGGAUUCUCAGGAACAUUGAACCAAAAUACCAAAUCCAGGCUCAGGGCCUCGCCUCAUGGCUUCUGGCACUAAUCAAGAUGAAUGUUUUAGGAGUUUCCUAGAAGUGAACCUCAAAGUUUGCACAUAUAAUUGGGUUUCAAGGCCUUUGGACAAAGUAUUUCCACCCUCAGAUCACCCUCUCCACUGACACUAGCACCAGCACUCCAAUUAGAGGGGCUGCUUAAACUCCAUCAACGUCUUGUGCAGCCUAAAAGCUUUUUAAAUGAGGCUCACAGCCACGAACAAGGUAAAUACAUUUGUAGAUUUGUUUGGGCAAUUACAGUCAUUUAAAAAACAAUGCAUAAUAAGAGACAUGAAUCUAAUAACCAUCGCUAAUUAAAUGUAUUAAUGCCACGUUAUAAAACGAAUGCAUCUUGCUGAUAUGUUGCAGCUCC